UACGGGGGGAGCAAGCGUUGUUCGGAUUUACUGGGCGUAAAGGGCGCGUAGGCGGCCACGACAAGUCACUUGUGAAAUCUCCGGGCUUAACUCGGAACGGUCAAGUGAUACUGUCGGGCUAGAGUGCAGAAGGGGCAACUGGAAUUCUCGGUGUAGCGGUGAAAUGCGUAGAUAUUCGGAGGAACACCAGUGGCGAAGGCGGCUCACUGGUCCAUUACUGACGCUGAGGUGCGAAAGCGUGGGGAGCAAACAGG
rnacentral:rRNA from 1 species